rnacentral:rRNA from 1 species
CAGCAGCCGCGGGAAUACGUAGGUGGCAAGCGUUGUCCGGAAUUACUGGGCGUAAAGGGCUCGCAGGCGGUUUCUUAAGUCUGAUGUGAAAGCCCCCGGCUCAACCGGGGAGGGUCAUUGGAAACUGGGAAACUUGAGUGCAGAAGAGGAGAGUGGAAUUCCACGUGUAGCGGUGAAAUGCGUAGAGAUGUGGAGGAACACCAGUGGCGAAGGCGACUCUCUGGUCUGUAACUGACGCUGAGGAGCGAAAGCGUGGGGAGCGAACAGGAUUAGAGACCCGUGUAGUCCCUGUCUCUUAUAC